AGUCUGUUGAUGGUUGUGCUCAUUUUUGAAUAUGUACAUGAAUUAUGAAUUAAUAAAAAUUAUUUUGGUAUUUUUCAUCCCAAAAUAUUUCAUCUUCUAAUGAACUCCUAUGUUGUGGUGAAGUCCUUAGGACUAUUUAGACUCGACAAAGGAGGAUUUGUCGUUUAGUCCUUAAAUCUGUUCAUGACCAAAUGAUAUGUUGUUAUCAAGGACGAUAAUAUUUAUCAAGCAUAGGUCGUUGUGUG
rnacentral:lncRNA from 1 species